GUCUACGGCCAUGCUACCCUGAACAAGCCUGAUCCCGUCUGAUCUUGGAAGCUAAGCAGAGUCGGGCCUGGUUAGUACUUGGAUGGGAGACCACCUAGGAAGACCAGGUGCUGUAGACA
rnacentral:rRNA from 1 species